CUCACGCACAGGAGUGGGGACCUGCAGGACGGCGAUAGAGAGACAUCUUUGUUGUGGGCAAAAUACGCCGACCUCAAGUAACGUUGGAGGCUUAUACUAGAGAGAAAGAUAAUGUGCUUGAUCACCAGGUUGAUUCUACUUACCAGCCGUAAAAACAUCUGCAUACAGGUGACCUCAGGAAGGCUAUCCUUGACCUCAUCUGACCUCUGACAUUACCUUGCGGGAUUUCCUCCAUAGUACCUGUUGUCAACUGGACUUCUGCUGCCAUUAUUGGGAUUUUGUCUGUUUGCCUAUUGCCUGUCUUCAUCACCAGGAUAUAAGCUUUGUGAGAGCAGAAACUUUGGCUCCUGAUAUUUCUAGCACCUAGAAUAGUCAUGGCACAUGGUAGUGUUCAAUAAAAAUUGUUUUGAAUUAA